CGGGGCCGGGCCGGGCUGAGGGUUGCGGGGUCCUAGCGCCCCGCGCUGCGAUGGGCGGGGCAGGUGGGCGGGGCUGAGCCGCGCUGGCCCGUGACGCAAGCAGUGGCUGGGGAAAUGCGCGCUGGUUCCCCCUGCGGUCGGGAGAUCCCGAGGCUUGAGGCGGGCGUGGGUGCGAAACACAUUCCCUUCCCCUUUCACCACCCCCGGGGGCAGGGAUGCGUCUUGGGCCAACUGACCCGUUUCCUCCUUCUUCCCCAGCAGCCGCGGGAGUCCUGACAGUGCCUAGCCCGAGCACCGCGCGUCUGUCUGGGCGGCUGCUCCUACACCGAGGGCGCUCAGACCUCCCCAGGAAACCCCCUGACGGCUUAGCAACCACCUAGUAGGUUUCGGUCCCAAGAUACCGAGGGUCAGGGUCAACUUUCGUGCCUGGAAAAACUAGAAGAAGACAAUUGGAUCACCACAUUUUUAGCGUCUUUAGCCUUAUUACUCUCGUCCCCUCGCCUCACUUCUUACUUUGUCCCUUUAUCCUUUCUGCUUCUGUCUACUUUUGACAGAUCUGGCAAAAAUACAGCAGAUUUGCAGAACCAGGCUGUUCACUUCCCACCCUGGUGCUGUUGCUGCAGAUUGCUUCCGAGCUGCCGCCCCCCUGGGCUUGGGCAGAGUGUCGGCAUCAGUCUUGAGCACAAUCUUGGUAUCUGCCCUGUGGGCGGGGUGCCCUGCAGAGCCAGUGGGCCAGCGACAGGCAUGCCCUCCAGGUACUCAGGUGGAAUGCUGAAGGAGGCUAGAAAGAAUAUUCAAAAUUAGACAAUAAAGAUGAAAGAGAAGCAGAAUCA
rnacentral:lncRNA from 12 species